rnacentral:rRNA from 1 species
GUGGGGAAUAUUGGACAAUGGGCGAAAGCCUGAUCCAGCCAUGCCGCGUGUGUGAAGAAGGUCUUCGGAGUGUAAAGCACUUUAAGUUGGGAGGAAGGGCAGUAAGUUAAUACCUUGCUGUUUUGACGUUACCGACAGAAUAAGCACCGGCUAACUUCGUGCCAGCAGCCGCGGUAAUACGAAGGGUGCAAGCGUUAAUCGGAAUUACUGGGCGUAAAGCGCGCGUAGGUGGUUUUGUAAGUUGGAGGUGAAAUCCCCGGGCUCAACCUGGGAACUGCCUCCGAAACUGCAUGACUAGAGUACGGUAGAGGGUAGUGGAAUUUCCUGUGUAGCGGUGAAAUGCGUAGAUAUAUGAAGGAACACCAGUGGCGAAGGCGACUACCUGGACUGAGACUGACACUGAGGUGCGAAAGCGUGGGGAGCAAACAGGAUUAGAAACCCCUGUAGUCC